rnacentral:lncRNA from 1 species
AUGAGGAUGUCCACUACUGGAUGCUAUGGCGCACUGUGGCCCUCCACGCUGCACACUCGUCUGUUUGCCACUAGAUGAAGAUGUGCCCUGCUGGAGGCUACGUCCAGUCAGUGCUCAGACACAGCCUGGCUUUGCUCUACACCGAGAGUGCCAGCAGCAGUCCCACGUCCACUCACAGCCACGGCCUGCGGCAUCCACCCUGCCUCUGCAGAGCUACCACUCUUCAACAGGCUUCCACACUCUGCCACGCACAUCAGAAGUGAAGCAAUGUCACAACUGUUAACUACAGAUGAAUCCCAUUUUACACAAGAAGCAAGAAGAAUAGAAACAAAUAUGUGGCAGAAGCCUGGGCUCUGACCUAUCCUGCUGGAGCUCACAAAAUAUAGUAAGAGUCUUCUUUUACUGAAAACAAAUGAUCAUAGCCAGUUUCCAGAUUCUUCACUUUACUGGAAGGUGGAUAUUAUGGUUUAGAUAAAAUGCUCCCCAAAAAUCUCACACUUAGAGGUGGGGCCUUGUGGUAGGGGAUGGGUCCCUAGAGGUGUGAACUGAAGGAUGUAUUCUUGUCUUCCUACUUUGCUUCCUGGGUGCCAUUCAGUGAACCAUGCAUUCCUGUCUUGGAGCUGGCAAACCAUGGACUGAACCCUGGGAAACUGAGCCUAGCUAAGCCUCAUCUCUUUUAAAUUGUAGGUGCCAGAUAUUUUGUCCCUGUGAUGGGAAAGUGACUAAUGCAGUGGAGACUUUAUCAAAAACAUGUUGUUAUUGUAUUAGUAGC